rnacentral:miRNA from 1 species
UCCAGCUUGUGGAACAGGUC